rnacentral:rRNA from 1 species
UCUUAUGGCCAUGCCGGUCUGAGAAUGCCUGAUCUCAUCUGGUCUCAGAAGUGAAGCAGGCUUUGGCCUGGCUGGUGCUUGGAUGGGAGACCUCCUGAAAGUACCAUGUGAUUUAAACC